UUUUGUUUUUGUUUGUUGCAAUUUAACUUGCACUAAAAAAUUUUCACCUAACUUUCCCAAUCCAGGUUUCUUUCUGUCAUGUAGAACGAUCUCGGUCACUUGUAACUCAAGAACACAGCAAUAUGAAUGGCUUAUUGGAUCACAAUAUAAAUCAAUAGAGUUGGCUAAGUCUGAUUGGGUUGCAACAAGGAAAUCUCCACCUUGGGCCAUUGAUUAUUGGGGCUUUGGUAAGUCAAUUUUGCUCCAUUUUUUGAUGGUUGCUUAAUUAGAUUAUGCUUAAUUUGUCUGCUGGGCAUGCCUAUUGUAAUCUUUUAAAUUAAUUGGAACUCUGCUUUUCAUUGGGAUAAGAUUAUUCAUAUUUAAAUUUAUUGUCCUUGUAGAUCCUAGUAUGUGAACAUGAUGUUAGGAUUAUAUUCAAUUAACUUUUCUGGG